rnacentral:rRNA from 1 species
CAGCCGCCGCGGUAAUACGAAGGUCCCAAGCGUUGUUCGGAAUCACUGGGCGUAAAGGGAGCGUAGGCGGCGUGGUAAGUCAGAUGUGAAAUCCCGGGGCUCAACCCCGGAACUGCAUCCGAUACUGCCAUGCUUGAGGGUUGGAGAGGUGACUGGAAUUCUCGGUGUAGCAGUGAAAUGCGUGGAUAUCGAGAGGAACACUCGUGGUGAAGGCGAGUCACUGGACAACAUCUGACGCUGAGGCUCGAAGGCUAGGGUAGCGAAAGGGAUUAGAUACCCCAGUAGUCCCUGUCUCUUAUAC